ACACUCCUGCGGGAAGCAGCAGUGGGGAAUUUUGGACAAUGGGCGAAAGCCUGAUCCAGCCAUGCCGCGUGCAGGAUGAAGGCCUUCGGGUUGUAAACUGCUUUUGUACGGAACGAAACGGCCUUUUCUAAUAAAGAGGGCUAAUGACGGUACCGUAAGAAUAAGCACCGGCUAACUACGUGCCAGCAGCCGCGGUAAUACGUAGGGUGCAAGCGUUAAUCGGAAUUACUGGGCGUAAAGCGUGCGCAGGCGGUUAUGUAAGACAGUUGUGAAAUCCCCGGGCUCAACCUGGGAACUGCAUCUGUGACUGCAUAGCUAGAGUACGGUAGAGGGGGAUGGAAUUCCGCGUGUAGCAGUGAAAUGCGUAGAUAUGCGGAGGAACACCGAUGGCGAAGGCAAUCCCCUGGACCUGUACUGACGCUCAUGCACGAAAGCGUGGGGAGCAAACAGGAUUAGAAACCCGUGUAGUCC
rnacentral:rRNA from 1 species